GCUCGGUUAGUGUAGUCCGGCCAAUCAUACGGGCCUUUCGAGCCUGUGACAGGGGUUCAAAUCCCCUACCGAGCA
rnacentral:tRNA from 1 species